CGAAAUCGGUAGACGCUACGGACUUAAAAUCCGUCGACUUUCUAAGUCGUGAGGGUUCAAGUCCCUCUAUCCCCA
rnacentral:tRNA from 1 species